rnacentral:rRNA from 1 species
UGGCGAACGGGUGAGUAACAUAUCGGAACGUGCCCUGGAGUGGGGGAUAACUAGUCGAAAGACUAGCUAAUACCGCAUACGAUCUACGGAUGAAAGUGGGGGAUCGCAAGACCUCAUGCUCGUGGAGCGGCCGAUAUCUGAUUAGCUAGUUGGUGGGGUAAAGGCCUACCAAGGCAUCGAUCAGUAGCUGGUCUGAGAGGACGACCAGCCACACUGGGACUGAGACACGGCCCAGACUCCUACGGGAGGCAGCAGUGGGGAAUUUUGGACAAUGGGCGCAAGCCUGAUCCAGCAAUGCCGCGUGAGUGAAGAAGGCCUUCGGGUUGUAAAGCUCUUUUGUCAGGGAAGAAACGGUGAGGGCCAAUAUCCUUUGCUAAUGACGGUACCUGAAGAAUAAGCACCGGCUAACUACGUGCCAGCAGCCGCGGUAAUACGUAGGGUGCAAGCGUUAAUCGGAAUUACUGGGCGUAAAGCGUGCGCAGGCGGUUUUUCAAGACAGAUGUGAAAUCCCCGGGCUUAACCUGGGAAUGGCAUUUGU